AUCGUUCAUCUCUUAGUUUUAGAGACGGAAGUAGACCUUAAAAAAGUCGAAGGAACGCAUG
ncrna:unclassified sequences Glutamine riboswitch